rnacentral:rRNA from 1 species
GAUGAACGCUGGCGGCGUGCCUAAUACAUGCAAGUCGAGCGAACAGAUGAGGAGCUUGCUCCUCUGACGUUAGCGGCGGACGGGUGAGUAACACGUGGAUAACCUACCUAUAAGACUGGGAUAACUUCGGGAAACCGGAGCUAAUACCGGAUAAUAUAUUGAACCGCAUGGUUCAAUAGUGAAAGACGGUUUUGCUGUCACUUAUAGAUGGAUCCGCGCCGCAUUAGCUAGUUGGUAAGGUAACGGCUUACCAAGGCAACGAUGCGUAGCCGACCUGAGAGGGGGAUAGGCCACACUGGAGCUGAGACACGGUCCAGAGUCCUACGGGAGGCAGCAGUAGGGAAUCUUCCGCAAUGGGCGAAAGCCUGACGGAGCAACGCCGAGUGAGUGAUGAAGGUCUUCGGAUCGUAAAACUCUGUUAUUAGGGAAGAACAAAUGUGUAAGUAACUAUGCACGUCUUGACGGUACCUAAUCAGAAAGCCACGGCUAACUACGUG